rnacentral:rRNA from 1 species
UGAGUGCGAGCUGCUACGGCAGCGAAGUUGGUGACGUCAAGCUUCCAAGAAAAGCCCUAUACCCGUUAAGGCAUCAUGGCCUGUACCCGAAACCGACACAGGUGGGGUGGUAGAGAAUACCGAGGGGCGCGAGGUAACUCUCUCUAAGGAACUCGGCAAAAUGGCCCCGUAACUUCGGGAGAAGGGGUGCCACCGCAAGGUGGUCGCAGUGAAGAGGCCCAGGCGACUGUUUACCAAAAACACAGGUCUCCGCUAAGUCGCAAGACGAUGUAUGGGGGCUGACGCCUGCCCAGUGCCGGAAGGUUAAGGAAGCUGGUCAGCGCAAGCGAAGCUGGCGACUGAAGCCCCGGUGAACGGCGGCCGUAACGAUAACGGUCCUAAGGUAGCGAAAUUCCUUGUCGGGUAAGUUCCGACCCGCACGAAAGGCGUAACGAUCUGGGCGCUGUCUCGGAGAGAGGCUCGGCGAAAUAGAAUUGUCUGUGAAGAUGCGGACUACGUGCACCCGGACAGAAAGACCCUAUGAAGCUUUACUGUAGCUUGGUAUUGUGCCCGGGCUCUGAAUGCGCAGGAUAGGUGGGAGGCUUUGAUCAUCGGCUUGCGGGUCGAUGUGAGCCAACGGUGAGAUACCACUCUUUCAGAGCUAGGGUUCUAACAGUCACCCGUUAUCCGGGGACUGGACAGUAUCAGGUGGGCAGAUUGACUGGGGCGGUCGCCUCCUAAAAGGUAACGGAGGCGCGCAAAGGUCUGCUCAGGCUGGUUGGAAAUCAGCCGACGAGUGUAAAAGCAGAAGCAGGCUUGACUGUGAGACCUACAAGUCGAACAGGGAGGAAACUCGGCUUUAGUGAUCCGACGGUUCUGCGUGGAAGGGCCGUCGCUCAACGGAUAAAAGUUACUCUAAGGAUAACAGGCUGAUCUCCCCCAAGAGUUCACAUCGACGGGGAGGUUUGGCACCUCGAUGUCGGCUCAUCGCAACCUGGGGCUGAAGUCGGUCCCAAGGGUUGGGCUGUUCGCCCAUUAAAGCGGUACGCGAGCUGGGUUCAGAACGUCGUGAGACAGUUCGGUCCAUAUCCGGUGCAUGCGCAGGAAUAUUGAGAGGAGUUCUCCCUAGUACGAGAGGACCGGGAGGAACGCACCUCUGGUGUACCAGUUAUCGUGCCAACGGUAAACGCUGGGUAGCCAUGUGCGGAGAGGAUAACCGCUGAAAGCAUCUAAGUGGGAAGCCCACCUCAAGAUGAGUAUUCCCAUGGCGUUAGCCAGUAAGGUCACGGGAAGAACACCCGUUGAUAGGCUCUAUGUGGAAGCGCAGUAAUGCGUGAAGCAGAGGAGUACUAAUAGACCGAGGGCUU